rnacentral:tRNA from 1 species
AAGCAAGAAACUUACAGUAUUAUGGUUUCGGCCCAUAAUUAGGCGUUCUACACACCCUUGCUUU